rnacentral:rRNA from 1 species
CCUACGGGUGGCAGCAGUGAGGAAUAUUGGUCAAUGGACGAGAGUCUGAACCAGCCAAGUAGCGUGAAGGAUGACUGCCCUAUGGGUUGUAAACUUCUUUUAUAUGGGAAUAAAAUGUUCCACGUGUGGGAUUUUGUAUGUACCAUAUGAAUAAGGAUCGGCUAACUCCGUGCCAGCAGCCGCGGUAAUACGGAGGAUCCGAGCGUUAUCCGGAGUUAUUGGGUUUAAAGGGAGCGUAGGUGGAUUGUUAAGUCAGUUGUGAAAGUUUGCGGCUCAACCGUAAAAUUGCAGUUGAAACUGGCAGUCUUGAGUACAGUAGAGGUGGGCGGAAUUCGUGGUGUAGCGGUGAAAUGCUUAGAGAUCACGAAGAACUCCGAUUGCGAAGGCAGUUCACUGGACUGCAACUGACACUGAGGCUCGAAAGUGUGGGUAUCAAACAGGAUUAGAUACCCUUGUAGUC